rnacentral:rRNA from 1 species
UCCUAGUAACGGCGAGUGAAGCGGGAAGAGCUCAAAUUUGAAAUCUGGUAGCCUUCGGUUGCCCGAGUUGUAAUCUAGAGAAGUGUUUUCCGCGUUGGCCCAUGUACAAGUCCCUUGGAACAGGGCGUCAUAGAGGGUGAGAAUCCCGUCCUUGACAUGGACCCCCAAUGCUUUGUGAUACACUUUCAACGAGUCGAGUUGUUUGGGAAUGCAGCUCAAAAUGGGUGGUGAAUUCCAUCUAAAGCUAAAUAUUGGCGAGAGACCGAUAGCGAACAAGUACCGUGAGGGAAAGAUGAAAAGCACUUUGGAAAGAGAGUUAAACAGUACGUGAAAUUGUUGAAAGGGAAACGAUUGAAGUCAGUCAUGCUCUUUGGAUUAAGCCGUUCUGCGGUGUAUUUCAUUGAGCGGGGUCAACAUCAGUUUUGAUCGCUGGAAAAGGGCAGGAGGAAGGUAGCACUCUCGGGUGAACUUAUAGCCUCUUGUCGUAUACAGUGAUUGGGACUGAGGAACGCAGCAUGCCUUUUGGCCGGGAUUCGUCCACGUACAUGCUUAGGAUGUUGACAUAAUGGCUUUAAACGACCCGUCUUGA